rnacentral:sRNA from 1 species
GGACCAAGUAUAUUCAAAACCUCCAGGGCCUGUUUGCGCUUCCCUUUGGUAGGACAGCAAAGCCAGCUCAUAUCGCAAAGGUUAAGAUGAAGUUUCGCUUCUUAGGAAAAUUAAUGGCCAAGGCUAUCAUGGAUUUCAGAUUGGUGGACCUUCCCCUUGGCUUACCCUUUUAUAAAUGGAUGCUACGGCAAGAAACUUCACUGACAUCACACGAUUUGUUUGACAUCGACCCAGUUGUAGCCAGAUCAGUUUAUCACCUAGAAGACAUUGUCAGACAGAAGAAAAGACUUGAACAAGAUAAAUCCCAGACCAAAGAGAGUCUACAGUAUGCAUUAGAAACCUUGACUAUGAAUGGCUGCUCAGUUGAAGAUCUAGGACUGGAUUUCACUCUGCCAGGGUUUCCCAAUAUCGAACUGAAGAAAGGAGGGAAGGAUAUACCAGUCACUAUCCACAAUUUAGAGGAGUAUCUAAGAGUAUGUAACUGCAUCUUUGGGGGGUAGGCCAGUUGUGAAGACGGAGGACUUUGCCUGAUUGUACCUUGCUUCUGGCUGCACACGCUAUGGCUUGAGACCUUCCACAUCCCCAGGACCACUGCAUGAAGGCUGCUUUACAAGGCGCUAGCUUCUCUUUGCUCUUGAGUGCACAUAUCAGAUAUUUCCUGUCUUAUAUAACCUUGAAUUAUUUCUCCUCAGGCUUGAAUGCUAUCUAAUUACACCACGUUUUCUUAGUUUAAAAAACAAGUGAAAAGAGACAUUAUUUGUGUUCUCACUAAAUUGCAUUUUUGCAUUUCCAUCAAGGCAGCUAGCUUGACAGAAUUUACUCCAGGCACCGUGCAAUGCACACUUUUAUGUUUGGUGACACCUUUCAAAUUACUAACUUAUGGGCGAGGUGCAGUGGCUCACGCCUGUAAUCCUUCCAGCACUUUGUGAGGCAGAAGCAGGAGGAUUACUUGAGGCCAGGAGUUCAAGACCAGCCUGGGCAACAAAGUAGGGGCCUUGUCUCUACAAAA